rnacentral:misc_RNA from 1 species
AAGUCGUAACAAGGUUUCCGUAGGUGAGUCGGCUCUUAAUUUCUUAAGUUCCUUUCACACCCCCUUUGAUGUCCUUGUGACUAUAUGCUAAUUCGUGAUUUUUUAGGUGAACCUGCGGAAGGAUCAUUAACGAGUAAGGGUCCCCGGGGCCCGACCUCCAACCCUGUGUCUAAUUACCAUGUUGCUUUGGCGGGCCCGUCUCACGACCGCCGGGAGUGUCCCAGGACCUCGGCCCGUGCCCGUCAAUGGCCCGGACAAAUCCUUCCAACGAUGAUUCUGAACGACAAAUUUAAUAGUCAAAACUUUCAACAACGGAUCUCUUGGUUCUG